rnacentral:rRNA from 1 species
UGGUGCGAAAGCGUGGGGAGCAAACAGGAUUAGAUACCCUGGUAGUCCACGCUGUAAACGAUGUCGAUUUGGAGGUUGCGGUCUUGAACUGUGGCGUCCGGAGCUAACGCGUUAAAUCGACCGCCUGGGGAGUACGGCCGCAAGGUUAAAACUCAAAUGAAUUGACGGGGGCCCGCACAAGCGGUGGAGCAUGUGGUUUAAUUCGAUGCAACGCGAAGAACCUUACCUACUCUUGACAUCCACGGAAUUGUGCAGAGAUGCGCAAGUGCCUUCGGGAACCGUGAGACAGGUGCUGCAUGGCUGUCGUCAGCUCGUGUUGUGAAAUGUUGGGUUAAGUCCCGCAACGAGCGCAACCCUCGUCCUUUGUUGCCAGCGCGUAGAGGCGGGAACUCAAAGGAGACUGCCGGUGAUAAACCGUAGGAAGGUGGGGACGACGUCAAGUCAUCAUGGCCCUUACGAGUAGGGCUACACACGUGCUACAAUGGCGUAUACAAAGGGAUGCGAACCUGCGAGGGAAAGCGGAACUCAGAAAGUACGUCGUAGUCCGGAUUGGAGUCUGCAACUCGACUCCAUGAAGUCGGAAUCGCUAGUAAUCGUAGAUCAGAAUGCUACGGUGAAUACGUUCCCGGGCCUUGUACACACCGCCCGUCACACCAUGGGAGUGGGUUGCAAAAGAAGUAGGUAGCUUAACCGCAAGGAGGGCGCUUACCACUUUGUGAUUCAUGACUGGGGUGAAGUCGUAACAAGGUAACCGUAGGGGAACCUGCGGUUG